GAUGAACGCUAGCGAUAGGCUUAACACAUGCAAGUCGAGGGGCAGCAUGGUCUUAGCUUGCUAAGACUGAUGGCGACCGGCGCACGGGUGCGUAACGCGUAUGCAACUUGCCUCACAGAGGGGGAUAACCCGUCGAAAGACGGACUAAUACCGCGUACACUUGGGAUAGGGCAUCCUGACCCAAGGAAAUGAAAUUCGCUGUGAGAUAGGCAUGCGUCCCAUUAGCUAGUUGGUGAGGUAACGGCUCACCAAGGCGACGAUGGGUAGGGGAACUGAGAGGUUGAACCCCCACACUGGUACUGAGACACGGACCAGACUCCUACGGGAGGCAGCAGUGAGGAAUAUUGGUCAAUGGGCGAGAGCCUGAACCAGCCAAGUCGCGUGAAGGAUGACUGUCUUAUGGAUUGUAAACUUCUUUUAUACGGGAAUAACAAGAGCCACGUGUGGCUCCCUGCAUGUACCGAAUGAAUAAGCAUCGGCUAACUCCGUG
rnacentral:rRNA from 1 species